CCUGGUCUGGCUGGUCCCCUAUACCUGGUCUGACUGGUCCCCUAUACCUGGUCUGACUGGUCCCCUAUACCUGGUCUGGCUGGUCCCCUAUACCUGGUCUGGCUGGUCCCCUAUACCUGGUCUGGUAGGAGAAUGUAGAUUAGGUGUGGACCACUACCGUCUUCGGAGGUCUGAUUGGUUAUACACUUUUGCCCCAGAACACCUGAUUAAACUAAUUUGCAUUCCAAACUGAAGCCCAUGAUUUGUUGAUUAUUGCAGUCAGGUGUGUUAGCUGGGGCUGGAGUGUGUCACCAAUCAGGCUCUGAGGACUGGAGCUUUUGCUACAGAGGAACAUGAGUGCUGUGUACUUUUAUUUAAGUACAUGGUCUCUUUCACAAGCCCUGCAUCUACAAUUUCAUAGAAAAUAUCAAAAAAUAUAAUACAAUAUAAAACCAGUCAAAUACAGCACAACACAAAUACUCAAGAAAAACAAUAAAAUUCCUCAAUAAAAAGGUGCCAGAAUAUCCUAUUGUAAUGUGUUGUGUAGUUGGUUCCAGCAACGAGGUGCUUUAAAACUAAAACGUUUGAUGGAGACCCCAGGAACCUCCAAAAGUUAAGCAACCUUGUGAACGUGUUUGCUUUCACGUUUGAAAAAAUAUUUUCACGGCAACGUUAGGUUACGUCAGAAGCUUGUGUAGUAGUGCUUUGUAAAUAAAGGGGAGUAAAUGAGGUGAUCUUCUGGGCUUUAAUGAGGACCAGCAGGAUGCAGUAGUGAGUAUUAAAACUGUCCCCUGUGAUAAAGCGACGGACGCCAUGGUAGACGGCAUCCAAAGGUUUAAGAGUAGUGGCUGAUGCAUUCUGGUAAAUGGUGUCACCAUAGCCAAGACCUGGCAGGAAAGGUGACUGUACAAUCUGCUUCCUGAGGCAAGAUCUUUUUCUUGUUAAAGAAGCCCACUUUAUAUCUGAGCUCUUUAACUAGCUCAUCUGUAUGUUUUUAAGCAUUAAGUCUGUCAAUCCAAAUGCCCAGAUAUUUAUAGGUGGGAACCCGAUCGAUACGAGAACCAGACAAUUAUUAAAUAUGUAGUCCAACUGAUUUUUUCUUUUUGCGAGAAUUAGAGAACAACGUAAAUAUAGUCUUGCCUGCUUUACGUAUGUUAUGGUAACCAUUGCAUCAUUCUUCUGUUACCAAGGGGAUGAAUGUGAUGUGAAGGGCAUAUAUAAAAAUUUCACCGCAGAUGCAGAAGUGCGACAUCGGCAGAUGUGCGGUGGAUUGAGACUCAUAGCUGCCGAUGUCUCACUUCUGCAUCUGCGGUGAAAGGAGGCAGAGCUACAGCUGUGUUUGUUAGACCAUGAGACGUCCAGAAAAUCAGUCUUCUCACGAAAAUGCCGAACGGUUUGGCCUCCAAAAAUAUUAUGAUCAGAUUCUCACAAACACAUUUGGUGUUCUCCGUUUUGCUCUACGGCCCCCAAAAGAGUCUUGGGACUCGUCUACAUUUGUCUAUCUAGAGCUGUAGUGGGGCUGUGUUGAUGUGUGAGAGAGAGAGAGACGUUGUCUAUCUAGAGCUGUAGUGGGGCUGUGUUGAUGUGAGAGAGAGAGAGAGAGACGUUGUCUAUCUAGAGCUGUAGUGGGGCUGUGUUGACGUGAGAGAGAGAGACGUUGUCUAUCUAGAGCUGUAGUGGGGCUGUGUUGACGUGAGAGAGAGAGAUGUUGUCUAUCUAGAGCUGUAGUGGGGCUGUGUUGAUGUGUGAGAGAGAGAGAGACGUUGUCUAUCUAGAGCUGUAGUGGGGCUGUGUUGACGUGAGAGAGAGAGACGUUGUCUAUCUAGAGCUGUAGUGGGGCUGUGACGAGAGAGAGAGAGACGUUGUCUAUCUAGAGCUGUAGUGGGGCUGUGACGAGAGAGAGAGAGAUGUUGUCUAUCUAGAGCUGUAGUGGGGCUGUGUUGACGUGAGAGAGAGAGACGUUGUCUAUCUAGAGCUGUAGUGGGGCUGUGUUGACGUGAGAGAGAGAGAGAGAGACGUUGUCUAUCUAGAGCUGUAGUGGGGCUGUGCUGUCAUAGGAUUAAAACUAGAUCCUGUCAACAUGCUGCAUUAAAGACAUUCAGAGGCUGACGACCCACACUGGUGUGGUUAUCGACACCUUUACAAUACUCUCAAUACUCUCAAUCUGCUGCAUGUUUUUACACACUUGUUUCAAUUCAUUCACUUGUUAUAAGAGAUUCAAUCUUAUCAAUCUUAGGUAGCCUAGUGGUUAGAGUGUAGAGGUGGCAGGUAGCCUAGUGGUUAGAGUGUAGAGGCGGCAGGUAGCCUAGUGGUUAGAGUGUAGAGGUGGCAGGUAGCCUAGUGGUUAGAGUGUAGAGGUGGCAGGUAGCCUAGUGGUUAGUGUGUAGAGGUGGCAGGUAGCCUAGUGGUUAGAGUGUAGGGGCGGCAGGUAGCCUAGUGGUUAGAGUGUAGGGGCGGCAGGUAGCCUAGUGGUUAGAGUGUAGGGACGGUAGGUAGCCUAGUGCUUAGAGUGUAGGGACGGCAGGUAGCCUAGUGGUUAGAGUGUAGGGGUGGCAGGUAGCCUAGUGGUUAGAGUGUAGGGGUGGCAGGUAGCCUAGUGGUUAGAAUGUAGGGGUGGCAGGUAGCCUAGUGGUUAGAGUGUAGAGGUGGCAGGUAGCCUAGUGGCUAGAGUGUAGGGGUGGCAGGGUAGACUAGUGGUUAGAGUGUAGAGGUGGCAGGUAGCCUAGUGGUUAGAGUGUAGGGGUGGCAGGUAGCCUAGUGGUUAGAGAGUUGGACUAGUAACUGGAAGGUUGCAAGUUCAAAUCCCCAAGCUGACAAGGUAAAAAACUGUCUUUCUGCCCCUGAACAAGGCAGUUAACCCACUGUUUCCUGGUAGGCCGUCAUUGUAAAUAAGAAUUUGUUCUCAACUGACUUGUCUCGUAAAAUAAAAAGCAUGUUCAUUCGUCAUACAAUAGUUGGAACUUGUUUCCGUUUCUAUCUUUUCAACAACUGUCUUGUUUCUUUACACACAUUUUUGAUGGCGGACUGUGCUAGGAGCAGGAGGUACAUCCUGUCUUUUCAAACGUCCAGAGGAUGUUUUGUGUCGAAGCUGAGAGAUAAUCAGAACGCGAGCUGCUCUGUCAGAGGGCCAGGCAGUCGUUUGGUGUUCAACAUCAAACUGAUCCUGUCAGGCCAGGUGUUCAACAUCAAACAUCAAACUGUCCCUGUCAGGCCAGGUGUUCAACAUCAAACUGUUCCUGUCAGGCCAGGUGUUCAACAUCAAACUGAUCCUGUCAGGCCAGGUGUUCAACAUCAAACUGAUCCUGUCAGGCCAGGUGUUCAACAUCAAACUGAUCCUGUCAGGCCUGGUGUUCAACAUCAAACUGAUCCUGUCAGGCCAGGUGUUCAACAUCAAACUGAUCCUGUCAGGCCAGGUGUUCAACAUCAAACUGUUCCUGUCAGGCCAGGUGUUCAACAUCAAACUGUUCCUGUCAGGCCAGGUGAUCAACAUCAAACUGAUCCUGUCAGGCCAGGUGUUCAACAUCAAACUGAUCCUGUCAGGCCAGG
ensembl:lncRNA